GGGGGUGUAGCUCAGUGGUAGGGCAACUAUAUUGCAUGCAGAAGGUCCCAGGCUCAACCCUUGGCAUCUCAA